AACGCACAUUGCGCCCGCUAGUAUUCUGGCGGGCAUGCCUGUUCGAGCGUCAUUUCAACCAUCAAGCCUUAGGCUUGUGUUAGGGCCCUGCGGCUGCCCGCAGCCCCCGAAAUGCAGUGGCGGGCUCGCUGUCAUACCGAGCGCAGUAGCAUAACUCUCGCUCUGGGCGUGGCGGCGGGCACUGGCCGUGAAACCCCCCAUUUCUCAAGGUUGACCUCGGAUCAGGUAGGAAUACCCGCUGAACUUAA
rnacentral:misc_RNA from 1 species